rnacentral:rRNA from 1 species
AUCGAACGCUGGCGGCAUGCCUUACACAUGCAAGUCGAACGGCAGCACGGGUGCUUGCACCUGGUGGCGAGUGGCGAACGGGUGAGUAAUAAAUCGGAACGUACCUUAUUGUGGGGGAUAACGCAGCGAAAGCUGCGCUAAUACCGCAUACGCCCUGAGGGGGAAAGCGGGGGAUCGACAGACCUCGCGCGAUGAGAGCGGCCGAUGCCUGAUUAGCUUGUUGGUGGGGUAAAAGCCCACCAAGGCGACGAUCAGUAGCUGGUCUGAGAGGACGAUCAGCCACACUGGGACUGAGACACGGCCCAGACUCCUACGGGAGGCAGCAGUGGGGAAUUUUGGACAAUGGGGGCAACCCUGAUCCAGCAAUGCCGCGUGAGUGAAGAAGGCCUUCGGGUUGUAAAGCUCUUUUGUCAGGGAAGAAACACCGGCUCUAACACAGUCCGGGAAUGACGGUACCUGAAGAAUAAGCACCGGCUAACUACGUGCCAGCAGCCGCCGCGG